rnacentral:rRNA from 1 species
CAGCACCUCAAGUGGUCAGGAUGAUUAUUGGGCCUAAGGCAUCCGUAGCCGGCUCUGUAAGUUUUCGGUUAAAUCUGUACGCUCAACGUACAGGCUGCCGGGAAUACUGCAGAGCUAGGGAGUGGGAGAGGUAGACGGUACUCGGUAGGAAGGGGUAAAAUCCUUUGAUCUAUUGAUGACCACCUGUGGCGAAGGCGGUCUACCAGAACACGUCCGACGGUGAGGGAUGAAAGCUGGGGGAGCAAACCGGAUUAGAUACCCGAGUAGUCC